AGCGAUGCUCCAUCUCCAGGACAUGCUGUUUGUAAAUACUUUUCUCUAAGUGCAGAAAGGCUGGAGAAAGGAUCUGAUCACACGGCUGCAACUUCUGCAUUAGAACAUUCAAUAUGAAAAAAGGCCAGAUUUCAGAACUACAAGUUGCAAAAAUAAGCCCCACCAGAUGGUCACAUCAUCCUCCAUUUCACAAUAAGUGCAUGUAUUUAGCAAGGCAUGGCUGAAGAGCAGCACUGCUUGGGGUGCAUCUGGUUACCUGCACAAGCCUAUGAAGCAAUUCAGUCAGUGGUGGUGCAUACACAGUGCAAGAGCCAGCAAUUUUACUGAGUAUAUAGUUGAUAAGAU